UACGUAGGUGGCUAGCGUUGUCCGGAUUUACUGGGCGUAAAGAGCGCGCAGGCGGUCGUUCAAGUCGAGUGUGAAAGCCCCCGGCUCUACUGGGGAGGGUCACUCGAUACUGAUCGACUCGAAGGCAGAAGAGGGAAGCGGAAUUCCCGGUGUAGUGGUGAAAUGCGUAGAUAUCGGGAGGAACACCAGUGGCGAAGGCGGCUUUCUGGUCUGCUCUUGACGCUGAGGCGCGAAGGCUAGGGUAGCAAACGGG
rnacentral:rRNA from 1 species